UGGGGAAUAUUGGACAAUGGGCGAAAGCCUGAUCCAGCCAUGCCGCGUGUGUGAAGAAGGUCUUCGGAUUGUAAAGCACUUUAAGUUGGGAGGAAGGGCAGUAAAUUAAUACUUUGCUGUUUUGACGUUACCGACAGAAUAAGCACCGGCUAACUCUGUGCCAGCAGCCGCGGUAAUACAGAGGGUGCAAGCGUUAAUCGGAAUUACUGGGCGUAAAGCGCGCGUAGGUGGUUCGUUAAGUUGGAUGUGAAAUCCCCGGGCUCAACCUGGGAACUGCAUUCAAAACUGACGAGCUAGAGUAUGGUAGAGGGUGGUGGAAUUUCCUGUGUAGCGGUGAAAAUGCGUAGAUAUAGGAAGGAACACCAGUGGCGAAGGCGACCACCUGGACUGAUACUGACACUGAGGUGCGAAAAGCGUGGGGAGCAAAACAGGAUUAGAUACCCUGG
rnacentral:rRNA from 1 species